rnacentral:ncRNA from 5 species
ACUGAUUUCUUUUGGUGUUCAGAG